UACGUAGGGGGCAAGCGUUGUCCGGAUUUAUUGGGCGUAAAGAGCGUGUAGGCGGCUUGGUAGGUCCGCUGUGAAAACUCGAGGCUCAACCUCGAGAUGUCGGCGGAAACCACUUGGCUAGAGUCCGGAAGAGGAGAGUGGAAUUCCCGGUGUAGCGGUGAAAUGCGCAGAUAUCAGGAGGAACACCGGUGGCGAAGGCGGGUCUCUGGGCAAUAACUGACGCUGAGGAGCGAAAGCGUGGGGAGCGAACAGG
rnacentral:rRNA from 1 species